GAACUAUGUAAAUAUGCCCCCUUUGACUUAGUGGUAAAAAAUCAUUUCUUCUCAGGUUCUUUCAAGGAGGAAAAAGGACCCCUCAACAGCCCAAACCAAAAAGGAGAAGACAGAAGAGUAAAUGCCUCUACUAUUAAUAUCCAGAUGAACACUAACAUUGGAGACAGUUUUCUGGGAUGCUCAAGAGCUGUGGUCUUAAUGCUUGUGUUCCCCCAAAGUUUAUAUGUUGAAAUCCUAAUUCUCAAAGAUGAUGGUAUUAGGAAGUGGGGAAUUGGGAGGUGCUUAAUUUAUGAGGGUGGAGCCCUCAUGAAUGGGAUUAGUGCCCUUAGAAAGGAGGCUUCAGAGAGAUCACCCAGCCCCUUCUGCCAUGGAUAAGGAGGAGCCGGUCAUGAACCAGGAAGUCUUUCCCAGAGCACAACCAUGCUAGCAACUAGGUCUUAGGCUUUUUAGCCUCCCCAACUGUGAGAAAUAAAUUUCUGUUGUUAUAAA